GACCGAGGAGACGCACUCAGAGAGGGACAUGUGCCAUAUGCCUCUCCACAGCCUGCUCUGCGUGCUGGUGGCCUUGGCCUUCUCUGGAUCCAAUUUGGGCCAGAAAGUGACUCAAGUCCAGCCAACUGCAAGCACACAGGAGGGGGAAGAGGUCACCCUGGACUGUUCAUAUGAGACAAGUCAAAACUUAUACUAUCUUUUUUGGUACAAGCAGCUUCUUAGUGGAGAGAUGAUUUUUCUUAUUCGACAAAUUUCUUCUUCUACUCGUACUGAGAGGAGCAGCCGCUACUCUGUUGUCUUCCAGAAAUCAACAAAGUCCAUCAGACUUGUCAUUUCAGCCUCACAGCUAGAAGAUUCAGUGAAGUAUUACUGUGCGCUCUGGGAACCCACUCACAGUGUUUGA